rnacentral:rRNA from 1 species
AUUGAACGCUGGCGGCAGGCCUAACACAUGCAAGUCGAACGGUAACAGGAAACAGCUUGCUGUUUCGCUGACGAGUGGCGGACGGGUGAGUAAUGUCUGGGAAACUGCCUGAUGGAGGGGGAUAACUACUGGAAACGGUAGCUAAUACCGCAUAACGUCGCAAGACCAAAGAGGGGGACCUUCGGGCCUCUUGCCAUCGGAUGUGCCCAGAUGGGAUUAGCUAGUAGGUGGGGUAACGGCUCACCUAGGCGACGAUCCCUAGCUGGUCUGAGAGGAUGACCAGCCGCACUGGAACUGAGACACGGUCCAGACUCCUACGGGAGGCAGCAGUGGGGAAUAUUGCACAAUGGGCGCAAGCCUGAUGCAGCCAUGCCGCGUGUAUGAAGAAGGCCUUCGGGUUGUAAAGUACUUUCAGCGGGGAGGAAGGGAGUAAAGUUAAUACCUUUGCUCAUUGACGUUACCCGCAGAAGAAGCACCGGCUAACUCCGUG